UACGUAGGGCGCAAGCGUUGUCCGGGAUUAUUGGGCGUAAAGAGCUCGUAGGCGGCUUGUCACGUCGGGUGUGAAAGCCCGGGGCUUAACCCCGGGUCUGCAUUCGAUACGGGCUAGCUAGAGUGUGGUAGGGGAGAUCGGAGUUCCUGGUGUAGCGGUGAAAUGCGCAGAUAUCAGGAGGAACACCGGUGGCGAAGGCGGAUCUCUGGGCCAUUACUGACGCUGAGGAGCGAAAGCGUGGGGAGCGAACAGG
rnacentral:rRNA from 1 species